rnacentral:rRNA from 1 species
GUGGGGGAUAUUGCACAAUGGGGGGAACCCUGAUGCAGCGACGCCGCGUGAGUGAAGACGGCCUUCGGGUUGUAAAGCUCUGUCAAUCGGGACGAAGAAGAUGACGGUACCGAUGAAGGAAGCUCCGGCUAACUACGUGCCAGCAGCCGCGGUAAUACGUAGGGAGCAAGCGUUGUCCGGAAUUACUGGGUGUAAAGGGAGCGUAGGCGGGAAUGCAAGUUGGAAGUGAAAGGUAUGGGCUCAACCCAUGAACUGCUUUCAAAACUGUAUUUCUUGAGUGAAGUAGAGGCAGGCGGAAUUCCUAGUGUAGCGGUGAAAUGCGUAGAUAUUAGGAGGAACACCAGUGGCGAAGGCGGCCUGCUGGGCUUUAACUGACGCUGAGGCUCGAAAGCGUGGGUAGCAAACAGG